rnacentral:lncRNA from 1 species
UAUUGUUAACCGAUAAUGAUAAAUUCACUGGAUUAAUAUUAUAUUUGUGUUUAACAUAGAUUAGUAUAAAUUAGAGAUAAAAUGCACAUUGAGUACAAAUUUGACUUCAAAUCGGGUCCGAAUCGGGUCUAUUUCUUUUGUGCUUUUGGAAAAUAAUUUUGGGCAAAUCUAAAUUGGCUAUAUCAUAACUAUAAGGUGCUGGGUGACCCAUGACUUGAAAGAAUUGCACUUGACCUCUAGCCAGAAUAGAUGACCCGUUUACAAGCCAAAUUUCAUAUCACACUAUUUUUUC